rnacentral:rRNA from 1 species
GAUGAACGCUGGCGGCGUGCCUAACACAUGCAAGUCGAGCGGAUAGACGAUGCUUUUGCGCGGCUGUCGCGUGGGGCGGGCGGGUGAUACACACGAGUAUCCCCUCCCUUUAUGACUGAGAUCAUUACGGGACCGCGGAUCUCACCUCGUAUAAGAUCUUGAACCGCGGGGUUCGUUGGAGAUAUUCGGCUGUGGUGACUCUACUAGCGGUUUACAAGCCGGAUGGGCUAGUUGGUACGGUAACGGCUUACCAAGGCUAGGAUGCGUGGCCGACCUGAGAGGGUGAUCGGCCACACUGGAACGGAGACACGGUCCAGAGUCCUACGGGAGGCAGCAGUAGGGAAUCUUCCGCAAUGGGCGAAAGCCUGACGGAGCAACGCCGCGUGUGUGAUGAAGGUCUUCGGAUCGUAAAACUCUGUUAUUGGGGAAGAACAAAUGUGUAAGUAAAUAUGCACGUCUUGACGGUACCUAAUCAGAAAGCCACGGCUAACUACGUG